rnacentral:rRNA from 1 species
UACGUAGGGUGCAAGCGUUAAUCGGAAUUACUGGGCGUAAAGCGUGCGCAGGCGGUUUUGUAAGUCUGUCGUGAAAUCCCCGGGCUUAACCUGGGAAUGGCGAUGGAGACUGCAAGGCUAGAGUUUGGCAGAGGGGGGUAGAAUUCCACGUGUAGCAGUGAAAUGCGUAGAGAUGUGGAGGAACACCGAUGGCGAAGGCAGCCCCGUGGGUCAAAACUGACGCUCAUGCACGAAAGCGUGGGGAGCAAACAGG